rnacentral:lncRNA from 1 species
GUCCAAAACCUUCCGAGAGAAAAAGAAAGAAAAGAGAAAAAAUUGGGCGCAGAAUUUUUGGUGUGUACCCUAGGGUUUCUACCUAGGGUUCGGGAAGUGAGAUUGGUGUGCCACGAGUGUCGUGAGUCCACCAAAUUUCAGAGAGAGAUCCAUCAGCCUCUCAAGCAACUGUGCAGACAAUCUGGAGUAUCUGAGAAGUCGACACACAUCGAUCGAAGGAGUUCGAUCAACAUCUGCCAUCAAAAGGGUGAAAUCACGAACUAGCAUUCGUGAGGAGCUGAUCAGAUGGGAGCUUCGUGUGGACGAUCCGCAGAG